rnacentral:lncRNA from 1 species
CCCCCUCCUCUCUGGCCCAACAGCCUUGUCCUGCUCCCCACACUCCAGUAAGACCCAGCUUGUCUCUGUGUCAGGCCUGCCAGGUGCCCUCCCACCUAGUCUUCCCAACAGCUCAGGCAAACCCUGGGAGGCCCCCUCAUUUCUGUGCUGACAACUGCUGACCUCACCUGCAGAUUGAAGCAACCGGGACAAGGGGCUUUACCUUGAAUUCUGUUCCAUUGUUUCCAAAUAUUCAGAAGCUGGUGGGAUUCUUUUGAGGGCUGAAUAUUUUCCAAGUCUCUAAGGUCAUUCCAGGCAUAGAACAGUCACUCUAUCUGUGAUAUCGGUCAUCAUCACCUCCCACAGGCCCCAACACAACCCCAGGCCUGGGCAGGUGCUGCCGACCCAGGGUGUGAUCUGUGUGUUGACUGGAGGUUGGCAGUGCAGCCUUGGCCUUCUUUCCGAUGUUCUAUUGGAGAACAGUAGGACUGGUGGAGGUCCACAAGGAGGAAGGAAAUGGGAUUCAUGAGGGAACAGAAGCAGGCCCUACAGGAGGAGGAGGGAGGGAUUCCACGUCAUGCACGACGUUGUGAAGAGGGCGGCUGCCUCUUGGAGGAACAGAAUGACACGGCUUCCCCUCCCUUGGCUCAGUUAUGGAAUGUGAGGGCUGGGAAAGUGUGUGGGAAGUCAGAGGUCCCUCCCUCAUAGCACAGAGGAAAUGAUACGGGCUGAGGAGAAGUCUCCAGAAAUGGGCACAUCAGAGGCUCUGGGGUUGGCUCCACAGGCCCAGGACAGCGGAGUCUGAGGGGUUCUCUCAGCUCUAACUCUCCCCUUUCCUUCUUAUGGCCACCCCAUCACCGCUGCUCCUCCGGACACUCUGAUGCUUGCUUCCCAGAACUGGGAGACUCCACCAUUACAGGCAGCCGCCAGCAGGUGUCAGCAAGUCCUUCCUCUGCACCUGCAGAAGCAGCAACAGAAAAAACAAAAGUGGAAGAGGAAGUGUGAGUGUGCAGCAGGCAGAAUUAUGAGGGAAGCAGACACGUGCCCGUGUUCUUCAUGGCUACGCUCACUUUCCUGUUGUCCCAUCAGGUAAACCAGGAAGCUCAGGAAGGAUACCCUGAACUAUUGGGACAUUUUUAAUAUAUUUUAGAGACCUCUGAAGGUAAGUGAAGAGAUGCCCUGAGAACAUCCUCCAGGAGACAGACACCCACUCCAUAGCAGCCCCUGAGCCUGCUGGGCUGAGCCCUCCACAGGCUGCUUAGUGAGGGAGAAACUGAGGUGCUGGUCGGGCCACCAUGUGCAGGAUACCAGGGGCUGUGCACUGUGUUAUUUGUCUGCAGUGACACUUCAGCUCACCAGCAUCUCAUUUGGGGGGACCCAGCUCUGUCCCCCCAGCCCCUUGAGGCCAACAGGGAGCAUCACUAGUUCAUCCGGAGGAGACACUAGGGUUGACAGUGACAGACUGGAUUAAGAAAGACUGGAUUAAGAAAAUGUGGCACAUAUACACCAUGGAAUACUAUGCAGCCAUAAAAAAGGAUGAGUUCGUGUCCUUUGUAGGGACAUGGAUGCAGCUGGAAACCAUCAUUCUCAGCAAACUAUGGCAAGAACAGAAAACCAAAUACUGCAUGUUCUCCCUCAUAGGUGGGAAUUGAACAAUGAGAUCACUUGGACACAGGAAGGGGAACAUCACACAACGGGUCCUAUUGUGGGGUGGGGGGAGGGGAAGGGAUGGCAUUAGGAGAUAUACCUAAUGUAAAUGACGAGUUAAUGGGUGCAGCACACCAACAUGGCUCAUGUAUACAUAUGUAACAAACCUGCACGUUGUGCACAUGUACCCUAGAACUUAAAGUAUAAUAAAGAAUAAAACAUAAACUUUUAUUUUUCUUAUUUUUAAUUGGUCUAACAAAUAAAAAU